CCUACGGUGAGCAGCAGUGGGGAAUAUUGGGCAAUGGAGGCAACUCUGACCCAGCAACGCCGCGUGAAUGAUGAAGGUCUUCGGAUUGUAAAGUUCUUUUCUAAGGGAAGAAGAAAGUGACGGUACCUUAGGAAUAAGCCUCGGCUAACUACGUGCCAGCAGCCGCGGUAAUACGUAGGAGGCAAGCGUGAUCCGGAAUGACUGGGCGUAAAGGUUGCGUAGGUGGGUUGACAAGUUAGUAGCGCAACUCCGGAGCUCAACUUCGGAACUACUACUAAACCUGUUGGACUUGAGUGCAGGAGGGGAAAGCGGAAUGCCUGGUGUAGCGGGGGAAUGCGUAGAUAUUUGGAGGAACACCAGUGGCGAAGGCGGAUUGCUAGACUGUAACUGACGCUGAGGCACGAAAGCGUGGGGAGCAAACAGGAUUAGAUACCCGAGUAGUC
rnacentral:rRNA from 1 species